AUUGAACGCUAGCGGGAUGCCUUACACAUGCAAGUCGAACGGAGUGGCGAACGGGUGAGUAAUGUAUCGGAACGUGCCCAGUAGCGGGGGGUAACUACGCGAAAGAGUAGCUAAUACCGCAUACUAUUGGAGCGGCCGGCAGAGGGUUGGCUAGCUGGUGGGGUAACGGCUCACCAAGGCGACGAUCCGUAGCCGGUUUGACAGGACGACCAGCCACACUGGGACUGAGACACGGCCCAGACUCCUACGGGAGGCAGCAGUGGGGAAUUUUGGACAAUGGGGGAAACCCUGAUCCAGCCAUGCCGCGUGUGCGAGGAAGGCCUUCGGGUUGUAAAGCACUUUUGGCAGGAAAGCGGUACCUGCAGAAGAAGCACCGGCUAACUACGUGCCAGCAGCCGCGGUAAUUC
rnacentral:rRNA from 1 species